rnacentral:rRNA from 1 species
UGAAUUCAUCUCCGGGGGUAGAGCACUGUUUCGGCAAGGGGGUCAUCCCGACUUACCAACCCGAUGCAAACUGCGAAUACCGGAGAAUGUUAUCACGGGAGACACACGGCGGGUGCUAACGUCCGUCGUGAAGAGGGAAACAACCCAGACCGCCAGCUAAGGUCCCAAAGUCAUGGUUAAGUGGGAAACGAUGUGGGAAGGCCCAGACAGCCAGGAUGUUGGCUUAGAAGCAGCCAUCAUUUAAAGAAAGCGUAAUAGCUCACUGGUCGAGUCGGCCUGCGCGGAAGAUGUAACGGGGCUAAACCAUGCACCGAAGCUGCGGCAGCGACGCUUAUGCGUUGUUGGGUAGGGGAGCGUUCUGUAAGCCUGUGAAGGUGGCCUGUGAGGGUUGCUGGAGGUAUCAGAAGUGCGAAUGCUGACAUAAGUAACGAUAAAGCGGGUGAAAAGCCCGCUCGCCGGAAGACCAAGGGUUCCUGUCCAACGUUAAUCGGGGCAGGGUGAGUCGACCCCUAAGGCGAGGCCGAAAGGCGUAGUCGAUGGGAAACAGGUUAAUAUUCCUGUACUUGGUGUUACUGCGAAGGGGGGACGGAGAAGGCUAUGUUGGCCGGGCGACGGUUGUCCCGGUUUAAGCGUGUAGGCUGGUUUUCCAGGCAAAUCCGGAAAACCAAGGCUGAGGCGUGAUGACGAGGCACUACGGUGCUGAAGNNNNNNNGACAAAUGCCCUGCUUCCAGGAAAAGCCUCUAAGCAUCAGGUAACAUCAAAUCGUACCCCAAACCGACACAGGUGGUCAGGUAGAGAAUACCAAGGCGCUUGAGAGAACUCGGGUGAAGGAACUAGGCAAAAUGGUGCCGUAACUUCGGGAGAAGGCACGCUGAUAUGUAGGUGAAGCGACUUGCUCGUGGAGCUGAAAUCAGUCGAAGAUACCAGCUGGCUGCAACUGUUUAUUAAAAACACAGCACUGUGCAAACACGAAAGUGGACGUAUACGGUGUGACGCCUGCCCGGUGCCGGAAGGUUAAUUGAUGGGGUUAGCGGUAACGCGAAGCUCUUGAUCGAAGCCCCGGUAAACGGCGGCCGUAACUAUAACGGUCCUAAGGUAGCGAAAUUCCUUGUCGGGUAAGUUCCGACCUGCACGAAUGGCGUAAUGAUGGCCAGGCUGUCUCCACCCGAGACUCAGUGAAAUUGAACUCGCUGUGAAGAUGCAGUGUACCCGCGGCAAGACGGAAAGACCCCGUGAACCUUUACUAUAGCUUGACACUGAACAUUGAGCCUUGAUGUGUAGGAUAGGUGGGAGGCUUUGAAGUGUGGACGCCAGUCUGCAUGGAGCCGACCUUGAAAUACCACCCUUUAAUGUUUGAUGUUCUAACGUUGGCCCGUAAUCCGGGUUGCGGACAGUGUCUGGUGGGUAGUUUGACUGGGGCGGUCUCCUCCUAAAGAGUAACGGAGGAGCACGAAGGUUGGCUAAUCCUGGUCGGACAUCAGGAGGUUAGUGCAAUGGCAUAAGCCAGCUUGACUGCGAGCGUGACGGCGCGAGCAGGUGCGAAAGCAGGUCAUAGUGAUCCGGUGGUUCUGAAUGGAAGGGCCAUCGCUCAACGGAUAAAAGGUACUCCGGGGAUAACAGGCUGAUACCGCCCAAGAGUUCAUAUCGACGGCGGUGUUUGGCACCUCGAUGUCGGCUCAUCACAUCCUGGGGCUGAAGUAGGUCCCAAGGGUAUGGCUGUUCGCCAUUUAAAGUGGUACGCGAGCUGGGUUUAGAACGUCGUGAGACAGUUCGGUCCCUAUCUGCCGUGGGCGCUGGAGAACUGAGGGGGGCUGCUCCUAGUACGAGAGGACCGGAGUGGACGCAUCACUGGUGUUCGGGUUGUCAUGCCAAUGGCACUGCCCGGUAGCUAAAUGCGGAAGAGAUAAGUGCUGAAAGCAUCUAAGCACGAAACUUGCCCCGAGAUGAGUUCUCCCUGACUCCUUGAGAGUCCUGAAGGAACGUUGAAGACGACGACGUUGAUAGGCCGGGUGUGUAAGCGCAGCGAUGCGUUGAGCUAACCGGUACUAAUGAACCGUGAGGCUUAACCUU